rnacentral:rRNA from 1 species
GACGAACGCUGGCGGCGUGCUUAACACAUGCAAGUCGAACGGAAAGGCCCUGCUUUUGUGGGGUGCUCGAGUGGCGAACGGGUGAGUAACACGUGAGUAACCUGCCCUUGACUUUGGGAUAACUUCAGGAAACUGGGGCUAAUACCGGAUAGGAGCUCCUGCUGCAUGGUGGGGGUUGGAAAGUUUCGGCGGUUGGGGAUGGACUCGCGGCUUAUCAGCUUGUUGGUGGGGUAGUGGCUUACCAAGGCUUUGACGGGUAGCCGGCCUGAGAGGGUGACCGGCGACAUUGGGACUGAGAUACGGCCCAGACUCCUACGGGAGGCAGCAGUGGGGAAUAUGGCACAAUGGGCGGAAGCCUGAUGCAGCAACGCCGCGUGCGGGAUGACGGCCUUCGGGUUGUAGACCGCUUUCGCCUGUGACGAAGCGUGAGUGACGGUAAUGGGUAAAGAAGCACCGGCUAACUACGUG